rnacentral:rRNA from 1 species
GACGAACGCUGGCGGCGUGCUUAACACAUGCAAGUCGAACGGUGAAGCGAGUGCUUGCACUCGUGGAUCAGUGGCGAACGGGUGAGUAACACGUGAGUAACCUGCCCAUCACUCUGGGAUAAGCACUGGAAACGGUGUCUAAUACUGGAUACGACCAACCCUUGCAUGGGGUGUUGGUGGAAAGAUUUAUCGGUGAUGGAUGGACUCGCGGCCUAUCAGCUUGUUGGCGGGGUAAUGGCCCACCAAGGCGACGACGGGUAGCCGGCCUGAGAGGGUGACCGGCCACACUGGGACUGAGACACGGCCCAGACUCCUACGGGAGGCAGCAGUGGGGAAUAUUGCACAAUGGGCGGAAGCCUGAUGCAGCGACGCCGCGUGGGGGAUGACGGCCUUCGGGUUGUAAACCUCUUUCAGCAGGGAAGAAGCGAAAGUGACGGUACCUGCAGAAGAAGCACCGGCUAACUACGUG